rnacentral:rRNA from 1 species
AGAACGAACGCUGGCGGCAUGCCUAAUACAUGCAAGUCGAACGAACUCUUCGGAGUUAGUGGCGCACGGGUGCGUAACGCGUGGGAAUCUGCCCUUGGGUUCGGAAUAACAGUUGGAAACGACUGCUAAUACCGGAUGAUGACGAAAGUCCAAAGAUUUAUCGCCCAGGGAUGAGCCCGCGUAGGAUUAGCUAGUUGGUGAGGUAAAGGCUCACCAAGGCGACGAUCCUUAGCUGGUCUGAGAGGAUGAUCAGCCACACUGGGACUGAGACACGGCCCAGACCU